CCAGUUCGAGCUUCCCAGCUGCUUUGUUUACCUAAGCAAGCCUGGGCAAUGGCGGGCGCCCCUCCCCCAGCCUUGCUGCCGCCUUGCAGUUUGAUCUCAGACUGCUGUGCUAGCAAUCAGCGAGACUCCGUGGGCGUAGGACCCUCCGAGCCAGGCGCCGGAUAUAAUCUCGGGGAUAUAAUCUCCCAUUUUUUAAGCCAGUCCGAAAAGCGCAAUAUUCGGGUGGGAGUGACCCGAUUUUCCAGGUGGACAUUUGUGUUGAUUUCAUAUCUUUGCUAUUGUGAAUACUACUGCAAUUAACAUGCAAGUGCAACCAAUCAAGCUGAUGUCUUCAAUUUAUUCAUGUAUUCAUUCAUUAUUCAUUGAUAUAUAGCCAAUCAAGCAAGCAAGCAAACAAAAAUAUAUGAGUGCCUAUCAUGGACCAAAAUUUUGCUGGCUAAAGACUGAAGAAAUAGAAGAUAAAGUUUAAAUACAGUUCAUUUGUCUUCUUUAUAGACUCACUUUUUGCAGCAGACAAUGUGCUAUGUCUGAAACAGUAAAUUCCAGGGACCUUAGAAGAAAAUAA
rnacentral:lncRNA from 1 species